UUGUCGUCUUACCCAAAAUGCAAAUCAAAUUUUCUUUCACCUAUUCCUUUCUUAUCUACCGUCAAUGGCAACACUAUCCGCAGCUCACAAAAAUAAAAGUGGCUACUGCAUAACUUUCAGUAUGAUAUCAAGUUGCAGAGCUUCAAUGUAUUUCGAUGGCUAUUUUCUAGCGCCUCUUCUUCUCUUUCAAUGGUAUUCAUCUCACCUUCAAUGUAUGAAAAUGGAUGAAAGUGAAGAUCAGUUCAUUUGAAUAGAGAUUUAUACAGAAGUAGUUGUUAUUCAAUGUUUCUGCACCUUUAAAGUUAUUUAGAUUAGCUUGAUCUUCUUAUACUUCUUUAUACUUGUUCUGAAUAUGGACUGUUGUGGUGGUAUUAUUUUAGGUGUUCAAGCACUGCUUGGAAAUUGUAUAUGUCCAUGAGAUUGGAACACUAGUCUAUCUGACAAUCAGUGUAUAGUCCAGCUUCUAGACACAUAUUGUUGAAAGGAGUAUGUCUAAAGUUAAGU